AGCUUCAUCUCUCCAAUUAGGCCUCGACGCGGUCCUUGCACAGCUCAACAAGGGGCUUCUCGUUGCGCACGCAACCCUGCUCAGACUUGGUGACGUAGUCGGAGAACUUGUUCUGCAUCUCGUACGAGCACACCGCGGUCAUCUCGCAGUCGGUGAGACCGCAGGUGCCCGCCGCCGCGCCGGACGCAAAGGUCAUGUAAGUCUCGAGGUCGCUGUGGAACUUGUCAGACACAGACGCCUUCACCGGGUUGAACACGCCAAACGCCUCCUCAGCCGCAGCCUUCUUGGUGAACUUGUCCGCAACCGCGCUGUUGUAGCCGACGACAGCACCCUUGUAAGAGGAGAGAGUGUUGUUG
rnacentral:lncRNA from 1 species